rnacentral:rRNA from 1 species
CCAACAGGGAUUGCCUCAGUAACGGCGAGUGAAGCGGCAACAGCUCAAAUUUGAAAGCUGGCCCCCCCGGGGUCCGCGUUGUAAUUUGCAGAGGAUGCCUCGCGGACGGCGCCGCCCUAAGUCCCUUGGAACAGGGCGUCACAGAGGGUGAGAGUCCCGUAUGUGGGCGGACGCCCGACGCGUGUGAGGCUCCUUCGACGAGUCGAGUUGUUUGGGAAUGCAGCUCUAAUCGGGAGGUAAAUUUCUUCUAAAGCUAAAUAUCGGCCGGAGACCGAUAGCGCACAAGUAGAGUGAUCGAAAGAUGAAAAGCACUUUGAAAAGAGAGUCAAACAGCACGUGAAAUUGUUGAAAGGGAAGCGCUUGCAAUCAGACUCGCCCGCGGUUGAUCAGCCGUCGUUCUCGACGGCGCACUCUGCCGCGGUCGGGCCAGCAUCGGUUCGGGCGGCCGGAGAAAGGCGGCGGGAAUGUAGCUCCCCCCGGGGAGUGUUAUAGCCCGCCGCGGAAUGCGGCCUGUCCGGACCGAGGUCCGCGCUUCGGCUAGGAUGCUGGCGUAAUGGUUGUAAGCGGCCCGUCUUGAAACACGGACCAAGGAGUCUAACACCCACGCGAGUGUUCGGGCGUAAAACCCGUGCGCGCAAUGAAAGUGAACGGAGGCGGGAGCCUUUUGGCGCACCGUCGACCGAUCCGGAUGUCUUCGGAUGGAUUUGAGUAAGAGCGUGGUUGUUGGGACCCGAAAGAUGGUGAACUAUGCCUAAAUAGGGCGAAGCCAGAGGAAACUCUGGUGGAGGCUCGCAGCGGUUCUGACGUGCAAAUCGAUCGUCAAAUUCGGGCAUAGGGGCGAAAGACUAAUCGAACCAUCACGGCAUCUUGCCAGUGCGAUGUCCCCGUCGCUACUAGGUGGUUGAGAGGGCGACACCAGCCCUAGUCCCUGCGCGCAGCGCGCGCGGGGGCGACGCCGUCAAAUUGCGGGGACGCCCUUAGAGCCCUGGUCACCGCGGCCCGCCCGAAAGGGCGGGCGACAGCACCGGACGUAGUGGUCCGGGGAUGGUAACAGCACCAGGGAUUGGGCGAUCCGCAGCCAAGUCCCCCGGAAAACCGGUGGGAUGCAGUCCACUGAUCAAAUGUCGGCGGCUAGUAUCGUCUUACUAGGCAAGAUAUGAUCGAGACCCGCUCGAAAGUGCCGGGUAUGGGCAUCGA